AAAGAGAAAGAAGCAAUCUGAUUGGUUGAUAUGGGCAACUGGGCAACUUUUCCUCUGGACAGCUUUGGAAAAAUCUCCGUCAGAGAGAGAGAGACACAGAAAAUAAGAUAUCCACAACAUCAAGGCUGUAGCAAGUUGAUUUGUUACCGAGCCCAAUUUGUGUAGCUGUUGAACAACAUGACAAUGCUAGGAGGAGACGUAGAAGACCACAUAGAUGGCAGCGGCACUUUGGUCCAUGAUUAACUUUGGAUAAUUUCUUAGAAGAGGAGGUUCAUCGUUCUUUCCGUUCAAAUAAGCCAGCCAUUUUGGAGCUUAUGCAGCAAAUAGGAGAACAAAUUGAGCCACAAACACAACGCUCACAUGCCGUUACAGGACUAACCAAACUACUUUCAGUACUAUAUUUUUUAAGCACUGGAAUAUAUCAACAUUGUUUGAACUCCAGAUUUGGCAUAAGUCAACCUUCUUUUUCCAGAAUCCUAGGUCAGGUGCUGCAAAGUAUGCUGCGAGUGGGCGCAUCAUUACAUCACGUUCCCUGAAACACCACAGGAACUUCAAAGUUAGAAAGAGGCCAUUUUCAGAAUUGCAGGCAUGCCCAAUAUUGUUGAUUUGAUCGAUUGCACGCAUGUGGCACUAAUACCACCAGCAAGAUCCGAAAGAGCAUAUCGCAAUAGAAAAAUGUAUCGGACCAUUAAUGUACAAAUAGUCGUGGGUCCAUACAUGAAUAUUAUCGAUAUAGUUCCCAACUACCCUGGAUCAUGCCAUCAUGCUUUUAUCCUACGAAAUACGGAGAUUUAUUCGAGAUUUGAAAGAGACGUGUAUUGAGAUUCAUGUAUCUUAGGUGACAAUGGAUACCAGCUUUGUCGCUGGCUACUAACGCCAUAUUUGAAUCCACAAUCUAGAGCAGAAGAACGCUUUAAUCGGUCACAUAAAAGAACAAGAUCCAUGAUCGAGCGGACAAUUGGGCUACUGAAAAGCAGAUUUCGAUGUCUGGACAUCACAGGGGGUGCUUUGUUAUAUAAAUUAAGCUUUGUUAUGAAAUUAUAAUCGUAUGCAGUAUUCUCCAUAAUAUUGCCCAAAAACAUAACCUGCCUGAUGAUGUUGCCGAUGAUUUAAAGGGGUACUCCCGUGGAAACCUUUUUAUUUUUUUAUUUUUUUU